rnacentral:rRNA from 1 species
AUUGAACGCUGGCGGCAUGCUUUACACAUGCAAGCCGAACGGCAGCGGGGGCUUCGGCCUGCCGGCGAGUGGCGAACGGGUGAGUAAUGCAUCGGAACGUGCCCAUGUCGUGGGGGAUAACGUAUCGAAAGGUACGCUAAUCCCGCAUACGCCCUGAGGGGGAAAGCGGGGGAUUCUUCGGAACCUCGCGCGAUGGGAGCGGCCGAUGUCGGAUUAGCUAGUAGGUGAGGUAAAGGCUCACCUAGGCGACGAUCCGUAGCGGGUCUGAGAGGAUGAUCCGCCACACUGGGACUGAGACACGGCCCAGACUCCUACGGGAGGCAGCAGUGGGGAAUUUUGGACAAUGGGCGCAAGCCUGAUCCAGCCAUGCCGCGUGAGUGAAGAAGGCCUUCGGGUUGUAAAGCUCUUUCGGCCGGGAAGAAAUCGCGCGCUCUAACAUAGCGCGUGGAUGACGGUACCGGACUAAGAAGCACCGGCUAACUACGUGCCAGCAGCCGCCGUAA